GGCUUGCGGGGGGCCAACUAGCAACAACGCCUGGGACGCUGGGAAAGAGCCGACCGUAAAGAUCCCGAAGUGUGGGACAAUUUCUCUGUCGAGCGCGGCUGUCGCUGGAUGACGUUCAACUGUGCCGGCUCGGCGCCGCCGCCGUCGCGCUCCCUCAGAGGAACGAGCCCCCGCCGUCAGUCGUGCGGGCCGGGGAGAACGUUGAGACCCUCUGCCCCAUGCUCUGCCCCCCACCCCCAGGUUAAAUACGCUGAGACUCGUACUACUGGGGCCUGGAGCCCGUGUUCCGGAAUACGCGGUGCUUCGCUUUAGGAAAGGGAUGCUCACAAAGGUCGUAGAGUUUAAAGCUGGCAACUCCCGCCCUUCCCCCACCGCCCCUUCAGUAAGUGCACCUGUCGUGAUGAAGCGUCUGCACUGGGGUCUCCAGAGAGACAAACUGGCACAGAACGGGGCGUGGCCUCGCCCCGGCUUCCAAGCCUGCAGGCAGACUCGGGGGGCGUGCCGUGCACGUGGGGAGCGGGCCCACACCCUCGGGUCGGCCCCCUGGAAGCCUCGCGUGGCAGGUGAUCCCGGUGGACGACGAGAACCGGCACUGUGACCCCUCACGGUCGCCGAAGCACCUCCCCCGUGCCAGGCACACAAUAGGUUGUGUUAAGUGUAUGCUGAGUUAAUGCGUAUGUUGACCUAUGAGCUAGCUCACCUCUGAGGAAUGAGGGGGCUGAGGAAUAUGGCAGAUCUUCUACAGUAAUUUAGAUGCAAAGAAGAGAGAUGUUGUCUGGAAGAACAAACCACCUGACUGGAGAGAAGUAUGAAAAUGGGAGGAAAUUAUGCAAGAUUGACCCCAUUCUGCUGGUUGGUUUACGGUGGAGAUGGAUCCAUUUACAGUUACUGAAAAUGGCUGUUUCCUAAGAUCAAGCACUGCUGUAGUAAGUGGCAGAGCGGGGACCUGCGUGUUCUCUCAGCCUCGAUGGAGGAGCUGACUCAGCACGUCAUGCUCCAAGGUAUGCCAUUAUUUCUUUCUAACUUAAAUCUGGGACAAAUGUGCUACACAACGUUGCCAUUUGAUGACCUUGACCCAACCAAGGGGAAAAAAAAAACCUGACAAAACCUCUUCUCUGAUUCAGAUACUCCAGUUAGAUUUGCCUCUCUGAUCUUAAUAACUACAGAUUUUCCCUAGAGUGCUAUUUAGAUAUUUUCAUUUGUUCUAGUUCCAGACAUCUACUUAGGUUUUAUAUCAGAAACAAAGAUGAAAUCUUCUUACUGCCACGUCUCUUUCCAGGUAACAUCACUUCAGUUUUCCUCCAGGCCAAAUGGACCAAGACCAGACAGAUAAGAAUCCUCACAUAGUAAUAAUGAGAAGAGGGUGGGCAUUUGGCAGAGCAGUUAAGACGCUGCUUAGGGUGCCCCGUUCCAUCUCAGAGUGCCCAGGUUUAAGUCCUGGCUCUGCUUCCAGUUCAGCUUCCUGCUGGGAAGCAGAAGAUGAUGGGUCAACUGAUUGGGUCCCUGCAACCCACCUGGGAGACCUGGGUUGAAUUCCAGGCCCCGGGCUUCAGCCUAGUCCAUCUCAGUGGUUGCAGACAUUUGAGGAGUGCACUGGUAUUUGGAAGAUCUUUCUCUGUCUGUCUCACUGCCUCUCUUGCUUUCAAAUAAUAUGAAAGUAAAUAAAUAAGCAUUUUUUUUUUUAAAAAAAGAGAAAUAGCCAAGUGAUCGCCCACCUGAAAUAAGAAAAUACAGUUUUCUCCAGUAUGGCAAAAGGCACCAGAAUUUUCUUCUGGAUUUGUUGCUUUUUCUUUCCUGUAUUUGGGAUUGGGUGGAAAAAUGACUGAUGUGAUGAGGAGGUUUUGGGAAGGACCGGGGAAAAAAAAGCACCCCCAAAGGUGCAGAAAGUCCCCCAGGAAACUGUCCAGGACUAUGUUGCCACCUUCUUCUUUUGAUCCUCUGUCCCCAUAGAGAGAGUGGCUUUUUUUUUUUUUUUUUUGUACGUGUGUGUGUGAAGCAUACUUUUCCAAGUUGUUACAUUAACAAAUCUGCUCUGGUUUCUUUAUCCUUGUCCUCUAAAGACCACCUUGUCGGGGGACAGUGAACUUUCCCUUCAUGCCAGGCCUGCUGCACCAUCUAAUGUCACAAGUGUCUGCUCACAUUAGCUCCUGGAGACUGGAGCAGGUUCCGCAGCAGGCCUUUCCAGCAAGUGGAUUUGACAGAAUGAGUCCCCGUGCUAGCUCAUGGCACUUAUCAGUUAGUCAGUCUUCCUUGGGGACGAGAAUUUAGAGUGCACCAUAUUCAGUUUCCAAAUCAACUGCUGUCCCCUCAGGAAGCUGGGUGUUGCAUUAUUAAAAGAGAUGCCUUCAACUACAGUACCUGCUUAAACAUUCAUCCACAUUAAAAAAAAAAAAAAAGCUAGUGGUAGUGGGGAGAACACACAACAAUGCCCCCAAACCUUUACUGUGUUAACUCUUUCCCCGCUGAGUUUCAUGUCUCCCUGGAACUUUGGUUGGUGAGAAUGAAUACUUGUUAUUUUGUGAAUCUUAAUCCUUAUUCAAAACCAGAUGAUUUGUUUAACUUCAGAUGGCUAUGAAAUGUUACUUUAUGUGAUAAGAUCAUGGGACUGAAGUCCGCAAAUUUUCCAACCUCUCCUUUUCACUAAGUACCCAAUGCAAAGCUAAAUCCAACAAUUUAGCUGCAAAAAACAGCAGUGACUUUGCUUUACCUGUUACAUACCUCUCCCAGGGAUUCACAUGAAAUGAAAUAAUUAGUUCUCUGUGCAAAUCAACAGAUCUGAAACUCACACUUUAGGAGUUAUAACUUCAGGUUUCUCUAAGUUUUGAAAAAUACGGUUUGUUCAUUUUUAUCUUCCCAAACCAGAAAUUGACAAGAUUGCUGGAGAAAAGGAGAGAUCCUUUUUUAAGACUGCAUGUUGAUAUAAAUAUGAAAAUGGCUUUAACUCUGCUUCCAAUUUCCGAACAUGUGUACUUCAAUGAAUAUUAAAUGGCAGGCUCCUAUCACCACCAUGAUUUAUUUAUAUACCAGCGUUUUCAUCAGGAAGGAACUGGAGUUGCCUGUGGAGCGUGAGAGUCUCCUAUAAUUGAGUUUCGAGUGGCGAAUCCACUAAACAGGCCACGGCCCCAGAGACACCCCCGAAACCCACCUGU